UACGAAGGGGGCGAGCGUUGUUCGGAUUUACUGGGCGUAAAGGGCGCGUAGGCGGCCUUCUAAGUCAGACGUGAAAUCCCUCGGCUCAACCGGGGAACUGCGUCUGAGACUGGAAGGCUUGAAUCCGGGAGAGGGAUGUGGAAUUCCAGGUGUAGCGGUGAAAUGCGUAGAUAUCUGGAGGAACACCGGUGGCGAAGGCGGCAUCCUGGACCGGUAUUGACGCUGAGGCGCGAAAGCCAGGGGAGCAAACGGG
rnacentral:rRNA from 1 species